rnacentral:rRNA from 1 species
GAUGAACGCUGGCGGCGUGCCUAAUACAUGCAAGUCGAGCGAACGGACGAGAAGCUUGCUUCUCUGAUGUUAGCGGCGGACGGGUGAGUAACACGUGGAUAACCUACCUAUAAGACUGGGAUAACUUCGGGAAACCGGAGCUAAUACCGGAUGAUAUUUUGAACCGCAUGGUUCAAAAGUGAAAGACGGUCUUGCUGUCACUUAUAGAUGGAUCCGCGCUGCAUUAGCUAGUUGGUAAGGUAACGGCUUACCAAGGCAACGAUGCAUAGCCGACCUGAGAGGGUGAUCGGCCACACUGGAACUGAGACACGGUCCAGACUCCGACGGGAGGCAGCAGUAGGGAAUCUUCCGCAAGGGGCGAAGGCCUGACGGAGCAACGCCGCGUGAGUGAUGAAGGUCUUCGGAUCGUAAAACUCUGUUAUUAGGGAAGAACAUAUGUGUAAGUAACUGUGCACAUCUUGACGGUACCUAAGCAGAAAGCCACGGCUAACUACGG